UUAAGUUAUUAAGGGCGCACGGUGGAUGCCUUGGCACUAGAAGCCGACGAAGGACGUUACUAACGACGAUAUGCUUUGGGGAGCUGUAAGUAAGCGUUGAUCCAGAGAUUUCCGAAUGGGGAAACCCAGCAUGAGUUAUGUCAUGUUAUCGAUAUGUGAAUACAUAGCAUAUCAGAAGGCAGACCCGGAGAACUGAAACAUCUUAGUACCCGGAGGAAGAGAAAGAAAAAUCGAUUCCCUGAGUAGCGGCGAGCGAAACGGGAAGAGCCCAAACCAACAAGCUUGCUUGUUGGGGUUGUAGGACACUCUAUACGGAGUUACAAAAGUAUAUAUUAGACGAAUCAUCUGGAAAGUUGAAUCAAAGAAGGUAAUAAUCCUGUAGUCGAAAAUAUAUACUCUCUUGAGUGGAUCCUGAGUACGACGGAGCACGUGAAAUUCCGUCGGAAUCUGGGAGGACCAUCUCCUAAGGCUAAAUACUCUCUAGUGACCGAUAGUGAACCAGUACCGUGAGGGAAAGGUGAAAAGUACCCCGGAAGGGGAGUGAAAGAGAACUUGAAACCGUGUGCUUACAAGUAGUCAGAGCCCGUUAAUGGGUGAUGGCGUGCCUUUUGUAGAAUGAACCGGCGAGUUACGAUUUGAUGCAAGGUUAAGCAGCUAAUGUGGAGCCGUAGCGAAAGCGAGUCUGAAUAGGGCGUUUAGUAUUUGGUCGUAGACCCGAAACCAGGUGAUCUACCCUUGGUCAGGUUGAAGUUCAGGUAACACUGAAUGGAGGACCGAACCGACUUACGUUGAAAAGUGAGCGGAUGAACUGAGGGUAGCGGAGAAAUUCCAAUCGAACUUGGAGAUAGCUGGUUCUCUCCGAAAUAGCUUUAGGGCUAGCCUCAAGUGAUGAUUAUUGGAGGUAGAGCACUGUUUGGACGAGGGGCCCUUCUCGGGUUACCGAAUUCAGACAAACUCCGAAUGCCAAUCAAUUUAACUUGGGAGUCAGAACAUGGGUGAUAAGGUCCGUGUUCGAAAGGGAAACAGCCCAGACCACCAGCUAAGGUCCCAAAAUAUAUGUUAAGUGGAAAAGGAUGUGGCGUUGCCCAGACAACUAGGAUGUUGGCUUAGAAGCAGCCAUCAUUUAAAGAGUGCGUAAUAGCUCACUAGUCGAGUGACACUGCGCCGAAAAUGUACCGGGGCUAAACAUAUUACCGAAGCUGUGGAUUGUCCGUAGGACAAUGGUAGGAGAGCGUUCUAAGGGCGUCGAAGCAUGAUCGCAAGGACAUGUGGAGCGCUUAGAAGUGAGAAUGCCGGUGUGAGUAGCGAAAGACGGGUGAGAAUCCCGUCCACCGAUUGACUAAGGUUUCCAGAGGAAGGCUCGUCCGCUCUGGGUUAGUCGGGUCCUAAGCUGAGGCCGACAGGCGUAGGCGAUGGAUAACAGGUUGAUAUUCCUGUACCACCUAGUAUCGUUUUAAUCGAUGGGGGGACGCAGUAGGAUAGGCGAAGCGUGCUAUUGGAUUGCACGUCCAAGCAGUAAGACUGAGUGUUAGGCAAAUCCGGCACUCAUAAGGUCAAGCUGUGAUGGGGAGAGGAAAUUGUUUCCUCGAGUCGUUGAUUUCACACUGCCAAGAAAAGCCUCUAGAUAGAUAACAGGUGCCCGUACCGCAAACCGACACAGGUAGUCAAGAUGAGAAUUCUAAGGUGAGCGAGCGAACUCUCGUUAAGGAACUCGGCAAAAUGACCCCGUAACUUCGGGAGAAGGGGUGCUCUUUAGGGUUAACGCCCAGAAGAGCCGCAGUGAAUAGGCCCAAGCGACUGUUUAUCAAAAACACAGGUCUCUGCUAAACCGUAAGGUGAUGUAUAGGGGCUGACGCCUGCCCGGUGCUGGAAGGUUAAGAGGAGUAGUUAGCUUCUGCGAAGCUACGAAUCGAAGCCCCAGUAAACGGCGGCCGUAACUAUAACGGUCCUAAGGUAGCGAAAUUCCUUGUCGGGUAAGUUCCGACCCGCACGAAAGGCGUAACGAUUUGGGCACUGUCUCAACGAGAGACUCGGUGAAAUCAUAGUACCUGUGAAGAUGCAGGUUACCCGCGACAGGACGGAAAGACCCCGUGGAGCUUUACUGUAGCCUGAUAUUGAAAUUCGGCACAGCUUGUACAGGAUAGGUAGGAGCCUUUGAAACGUGAGCGCUAGCUUACGUGGAGGCAUUGGUGGGAUACUACCCUAGCUGUGUUGGCUUUCUAACCCGCACCACUUAUCGUGGUGGGAGACAGUGUCAGGUGGGCAGUUUGACUGGGGCGGUCGCCUCCUAAAAGGUAACGGAGGCGCUCAAAGGUUCCCUCAGAAUGGUUGGAAAUCAUUCAUAGAGUGUAAAGGCAUAAGGGAGCUUGACUGCGAGACUUACAAGUCGAGCAGGGUCGAAAGACGGACUUAGUGAUCCGGUGGUUCCGCAUGGAAGGGCCAUCGCUCAACGGAUAAAAGCUACCCCGGGGAUAACAGGCUUAUCUCCCCCAAGAGUUCACAUCGACGGGGAGGUUUGGCACCUCGAUGUCGGCUCAUCGCAUCCUGGGGCUGUAGUCGGUCCCAAGGGUUGGGCUGUUCGCCCAUUAAAGCGGUACGCGAGCUGGGUUCAGAACGUCGUGAGACAGUUCGGUCCCUAUCCGUCGUGGGCGUAGGAAAUUUGAGAGGAGCUGUCCUUAGUACGAGAGGACCGGGAUGGACAUACCUCUGGUGUACCAGUUGUCGUGCCAACGGCAUAGCUGGGUAGCUAUGUAUGGACGGGAUAAGUGCUGAAAGCAUCUAAGCAUGAAGCCCCCCUCAAGAUGAGAUUUCCCAACUUCGGUUAUAAGAUCCCUCAAAGAUGAUGAGGUUAAUAGGUUCGAGGUGGAAGCGUGGUGACACGUGGAGCUGACGAAUACUAAUCGAUCGAAGACUUAAUCAA
rnacentral:rRNA from 1 species